rnacentral:rRNA from 2 species
CAAUAAGCGGAGGAAAAGAAACCAACAGGGAUUGCCCUAGUAACGGCGAGUGAAGCGGCAACAGCUCAAAUUUGAAAUCUGGCUUCGGCCCGAGUUGUAAUUUGCAGAGGAUGCUUUUGGUGCGGUGCCUUCCGAGUUCCCUGGAACGGGACGCCACAGAGGGUGAGAGCCCCGUAUGGUCGGACACCAAUCCUGUGUAAAGCUCCUUCGACGAGUCGAGUAGUUUGGGAAUGCUGCUCUAAAUGGGAGGUAAAUCUCUUCUAAAGCUAAAUACCGGCCAGAGACCGAUAGCGCACAAGUAGAGUGAUCGAAAGAUGAAAAGCACCUUGAAAAGGGGGUUAAACAGUACGUGAAAUUGUUGAAAGGGAAGCACUUGUGACCAGACUUGGGCCGGGCGGCUCAUCAGGGGUUCUCCCCUGUGCAUUCCGCCCGGUACAGGCCAGCAUCGGUUCUUACCGGGGGAUAAGAACGGCAGGAACGUGGCUCCCUCUCGGGGGAGUGUUAUAGCCUGCCGUACGAUACCCUGGCGGGGACCGAGG